AGUAUUUCGUCAGCGCCCUCAAGCCGCUAGCAAGAAGCAAGCGAACUGUCUGGCUCGAUGCCGUUGCAAUCAAUUCCUGAAAGGUGCGGCUGUUCUGGGUGAAGCAGAGGUUAAAGCCAGAGCUGGUGAGAGCAGAGUCUGAGGUAAACGUGACGAGGAUGUAAUUGCUCAGGAUUGUGUACUCUGUGUCCGCAGCGAUGGAUCCGGAUAACCUGAGUCGCCGAAGCGGAUGAUACGCACUUCCAUCCUCCGCUCAGCACCACAUACAAGUCGCUCAAAAUCUGCAGAGACCAGCCACCUUCCCCAAACUCACGUUUCUCUCGCAUUCCUCCGAGACGUGGAGGUCCUGCCCCGCGGAGGACGCUACUCCCACGAAGGACUCGCAGCGGCUCCUGUGCCUCCGGAGGCGCAGGUGAGGGCCGUCGUAGCUCGGGCUGACCUCCCUGAAGUUGACGCAGGUGCUCUCGCUCCAGCGGCGGGCAGCCUGUCGCACAGCCUGGCGGUCCACCAGGUCUGGAGGAGCAGAAACAGAAUCAAAUGUCGGAGAAUCAAACGUAAUGUUCAGAGAGUUCGCUUUGAUAUUAAAACCCCAACAGUUGAGAA